CCUGGCUCAGGAUGAACGCUAGCUACAGGCUUAACACAUGCAAGUCGAGGGGCAGCAUGGUCUUAGCUUGCUAAGGCCGAUGGCGACCGGCGCACGGGUGAGUAACACGUAUCCAACCUGCCGUCUACUCUUGGACAGCCUUCUGAAAGGAAGAUUAAUACAAGAUGGCAUCAUGAGUCCGCAUGUUCACAUGAUUAAAGGUAUUCCGGUAGACGAUGGGGAUGCGUUCCAUUAGAUAGUAGGCGGGGUAACGGCCCACCUAGUCUUCGAUGGAUAGGGGUUCUGAGAGGAAGGUCCCCCACAUUGGAACUGAGACACGGUCCAAACUCCUACGGGAGGCAGCAGUGAGGAAUAUUGGUCAAUGGGCGAGAGCCUGAACCAGCCAAGUAGCGUGAAGGAUGACUGCCCUAUGGGUUGUAAACUUCUUUUAUAAAGGAAUAAAGUCGGGUAUGGAUACCCGUUUGCAUGUACUUUAUGAAUAAGGAUCGGCUAACUCCGUGCCAGCAGCCGCGGUAAUACGGAGGAUCCGAGCGUUAUCCGGAUUUAUUGGGUUUAAAGGGAGCGUAGAUGGAUGUUUAAGUCAGUUGUGAAAGUUUGCGGCUCAACCGUAAAAUUGCAGUUGAUACUGGAUAUCUUGAGUGCAGUUGAGGCAGGCGGAAUUCGUGGUGUAGCGGUGAAAUGCUUAGAUAUCACGAAGAACUCCGAUUGCGAGGGCAGCCUGCUAAGCUGCAACUGACAUUGAGGCUCGAAAGUGUGGGUAUCAAACAGGAUUAGAUACCCUGGUAGUCCACACGGUAAACGAUGAAUACUCGCUGUUUGCGAUAUACAGCAAGCGGCCAAGCGAAAGCGUUAAGUAUUCCACCUGGGGAGUACGCCGGCAACGGUGAAACUCAAAGGAAUUGACGGGGGCCCGCACAAGCGGAGGAACAUGUGGUUUAAUUCGAUGAUACGCGAGGAACCUUACCCGGGCUUAAAUUGCAGAUGAAUUACGGUGAAAGCCGUAAGCCGCAAGGCAUCUGUGAAGGUGCUGCAUGGUUGUCGUCAGCUCGUGCCGUGAGGUGUCGGCUUAAGUGCCAUAACGAGCGCAACCCUUGUUGUCAGUUACUAACAGGUUCCGCUGAGGACUCUGACAAGACUGCCAUCGUAAGAUGUGAGGAAGGUGGGGAUGACGUCAAAUCAGCACGGCCCUUACGUCCGGGGCUACACACGUGUUACAAUGGGGGGUACAGAGGGCCGCUACCACGCGAGUGGAUGCCAAUCCCAAAAACCUCUCUCAGUUCGGACUGGAGUCUGCAACCCGACUCCAAGAAGCUGGAUUCGCUAGUAAUCGCGCAUCAGCCACGGCGCGGUGAAUACGUUCCCGGGCCUUGUACACAC
rnacentral:rRNA from 1 species